rnacentral:tRNA from 1 species
GGGCGAUUAGCUCAGUUGGUUAGAGCACUGCUUUCACACGGCAGGGGUCACAGGUUCGAGUCCCGUAUCGCCCA